CGUUUCACCUCUGUUCUCUCAGCUUUGAUUUUCGAAAAUCUUGGACAAAAAUGUGGAAAUUGUGAGUUCCUUUGUGUUAUAGGAUCACAUUAACUUGAGGAGAAGGCUUGUUCUUACUCCCUUGAUCCUUGGGUAAGGACGUGAGGCUCCUCGCUGAGACAUGCUGGAGACUUCCUUUUGGCGGAGAUCCUUGUAUCUUGUGAUUUUAUUUUGAUUAUUAUAUACUUGUUUAGAUAUUUACAUUCUCCACUGUAUAUGUAUUUUGUAUUAUCUCCUCUUAGAGGUUAUUUUGGAGAAAUAGGUCUUGUAUAUUACCUUUUGGGUUCUUUUGGGAUUACCUCACAUAUAUGUAUAUAUUUACUUAUAUGCUCGGGCCGGUUAUCUUCACAGGCCAAGUCCCGAGUCUUGAUAUAUGUAUUUUGGCACUCUUUUGUAUA